rnacentral:rRNA from 1 species
AAUGGGCGCAAGCCUGAUCCAGCCAUGCCGCGUGAGUGAUGAAGGCCCUAGGGUCGUAAAGCUCUUUCGCCUGUGAAGAUAAUGACGGUAGCAGGUAAAGAAACCCCGGCUAACUCCGUGCCAGCAGCCGCGGUAAUACGGAGGGGGUUAGCGUUGUUCGGAAUUACUGGGCGUAAAGCGCGCGUAGGCGGAUUAGUCAGUCAGAGGUGAAAUCCCAGGGCUCAACCCUGGAACUGCCUUUGAUACUGCUAGUCUUGAGUUCGAGAGAGGUAAGUAGAAUUCCGAGUGUAGAGGUGAAAUUCGUAGAUAUUCGGAGGAACACCAGUGGCGAAGGCGGCUUACUGGCUCGAUACUGACGCUGAGGUGCGAAAGUGUGGGGAGCAAACAGGAUU